CACGUAGGGGGCAAGCGUUGUCCGGAUUUAUUGGGCGUAAAGAGCUCGUAGGUGGUUCGGUAAGUCGGGUGUGAAACCUCCAGGCUCAACCUGGAGACGCCACCCGAUACUGCUGUGACUGGAGUCCGGUAGGGGAGCGUGGAAUUCCUGGUGUAGCGGUGAAAUGCGCAGAUAUCAGGAGGAACACCAGCGGCGAAGGCGGCGCUCUGGGCCGGUACUGACACUGAGGAGCGAAAGCGUGGGGAGCAAGCAGG
rnacentral:rRNA from 1 species